AUACGAAGGCCCCGAGUGUUAUCCGGAUUUAUUGGGCGUAAAGCGUACGUAGGGGGCUUGGUGCGUCUCUUGUUAAAUCUCACUGCCUAACGGUGAGGCUGCAAGGGAUACGGCCGGGCUAGAGGAUGCGAGAGGUCUGUGGAACGCACGGUGUAGGGGUGAUAUCCGUUGAUAUCGUGCGGAACACCAAAGGCGAAGGCAGCAGACUGGCGUAUUCCUGACCCUGAGGUACGAAAGCGUGGGUAGCGAACGGGAUUAGAUACCCCGGUAGUCC
rnacentral:rRNA from 1 species